UACGGAAGGCAGCAGUGGGGAAUAUUGCACAAUGGGCGCAAGCCUGAUGCAGCCAUGCCGCGUGUAUGAAGAAGGCCUUCGGGUUGUAAAGUACUUUCAGCGGGGAGGAAGGCGGUGAAGUUAAUAGCUUCACCGAUUGACGUUACCCGCAGAAGAAGCACCGGCUAACUCCGUGCCAGCAGCCGCGGUAAUACGGAGGGUGCAAGCGUUAAUCGGAAUUACUGGGCGUAAAGCGCACGCAGGCGGUCUGUCAAGUCGGAUGUGAAAUCCCCGGGCUUAACCUGGGACUGCAUUCGAACUGGCAGGCUAGAGUCUUGUAGAGGGGGUAGAAUUCCAGGUGUAGCGGUGAAAUGCGUAGAGAUCUGGAGGAAUCCGGUGGCGAAGGCGGCCCCUGGGACAAAGACUGACGCUCAGGGUGCGAAAGCGUGGGGAGCAAACAGGGAUUAGGAUACC
rnacentral:rRNA from 1 species